AUGCUCAAGUUACUUGAAUUUUAUCUAGUUUGUAAUGAAAUAGUCAUUGAAUUUAACACUAUCGCUGCACUAAUUAAAGAUUUUGUUUCUGUGAGAAGAUUAGAAUUAAACGUGGAUUCCUGCUACAUUUUCAAAUAUGCUGAUAGAAGAUUCAUCAGAGAUCAGUAUCAUUACCUGUGUCUGUUACCCAAGUCCAGUGAAGGAGGAGGGGCCCACGUGUCGGUCCGGGGGAGCGGUAGGUGGUCAGCGGUUCCGCGGCACGUGGGUCGGCACGUGCCCGAGCGCUUGGCCCGGGGCAACCUGGAGCCGCCGGCCUCGGUGGCCGAGGCGGUGUCGUCCUUGACUAUCGCCGAUGCAUUCGUUGCAGCAGGCGAGGGCGCCGCCCCGCCGCCCCAGGCGCUCCCUCGGAGGUUCAUCUGCUCCUUCCCCAGCUGCAGCGCCGCUUACAACAAGGCCUGGAAGCUGGACGCGCACCUGUGCCGGCACACGGGGGAGAGACCAUUUGUUUGUGACCAUGAAGGGUGUGGCAAGGCCUUUGUCAGGGACUACCAUCUCAGCCGCCACGCGGUGAUUCACACCGGAGAAAAGCCCUUUGUUUGUACAGCUAGCGGCUGUGAACAGAAAUUCAACACAAAAUCAAACUUGAAGAAACAUUUUGAACGCAAACAUGAAAACCAGCAGAAACAAUAUGCAUGCAGUUUUGAAGGUUGUAAGAAGACCUUUAAGAAACAUCAGCAGCUGAAAACCCACCAGUGCCAGCACACCAACGAGCCACUGUUCAAGUGUGCCCAAGAGGGAUGUGGAAAACACUUCGCCUCCCCCAGCAGUCUGAAGCGGCAUGGGAAGGUCCAUGAGGGCUAUAUAUGUCAAAAAGAAUGUUCUUUUGUGGCAAAAACAUGGACAGAGCUUCUAAAACACAUGAGAGAAACCCAUAAAGAGGACAUAAGGUGUGGCGUGUGCCAGAAAACGUUUAAGCGCAAGGACUUCCUGCGGCAGCACAUGAGGAUGCACACCCCCGAGCGGGACGUGUGCCGGUGUCCACGGGCAGGCUGCGGCCGCACCUACACCACCUCCUUCAACCUCCAGAGCCACAUCCUCUCCUUCCACGAGCAGCAGCGCCCCUUCGUGUGCGAGCAUGCUGGCUGCGGCAAGACCUUUGCCAUGAAGCAGAGCCUCAGCAGGCAUGCCAUUGUGCAUGACCCCAACAUGAAGAAAAUCAAAGUGAGGCAGUCUCGUGGGAAGCGGAGCCUGGCCUCCCGGCUCAGUGGGUACCUUCCUCCUAAGAGGACACAGGGCCAGGCUGUGCCUUUGCCCAGGAAUGGGGAGCCGCUGAGCUGCAUGGAAGGCCACGCGCUCUCCACGUCGCCAUGCUGACUGCAGCUGCACAUCCGCCUGCGCUGUAUGGAGGACCACAGACCAGCCAAUGCAGUUUCUCUCCCCUGGAAGCAUGUGUUUAUUAAAGUCACUGGGGCAGGACACCAGA